GAUGAACGCUGGCGGCGUGCCUAAUACAUGCAAGUCGAGCGAACAGAUGAGGAGCUUGCUCCUCUGACGUUAGCGGCGGACGGGUGAGUAACACGUGGACAACCUACCUAUAAGACUGGGAUAACUUCGGGAAACCGGAGCUAAUACCGGAUAAUAUAUUGAACCGCAUGGUUCAAUAGUGAAAGACGGUUUUGCUGUCACUUAUAGAUGGAUCCGCGCCGCAUUAGCUAGUUGGUAAGGUAACGGCUUACCAAGGCGACGAUGCGUAGCCGACCUGAGAGGGUGAUCGGCCACACUGGAACUGAGACACGGUCCAGACUCCUACGGGAGGCAGCAGUAGGGAAUCUUCCGCAAUGGGCGAAAGCCUGACGGAGCAACGCCGCGUGAGUGAUGAAGGUCUUCGGAUCGUAAAACUCUGUUAUUAGGGAAGAACAAAUGUGUAAGUAACUAUGCACGUCUUGACGGUACCUAAUCAGAAAGCCACGGCUAACUACGUG
rnacentral:rRNA from 1 species